AGAAAAAAUAAACCAAGGAGGUCAUAAAACCCAUAAUAUUGUGUAAACCCCAAACCCACAAAAGGGAUGAAUAUGGCUACUUUACAGAAGUGUCAUCAGCAAGUAUGAUAAAUAGACAUGUACUAUUUAUAAUCAGUAUGUUCAUAUUCUUAUGCGAUUUAAAAGCUUUAGUUUUUAAAAUAUUUUUUAUAGUUUUUAUUUAUUUAGUGGAUGUACUGUCGUCAUCGGUCUAUUUUUAAGUAAAUACUAAUUUUUUAAACUAGAAUUUAACAAAAUAUCAUCUUCAUUCGAUGAUAAUGAUAAAAAACUCAUGUUUAACAUCGUAAUCGUUCAGUGACUAAAAAUAUACUGGUUCUGAAUGCUAGGUGCAGUGUGCCAAUACAGCCACUAGUCAGCAAUGCUCUGUGCGAGGCUCUGGUCUAAGCUCUGGUGUCGUGCUAAGUGCAGUGUUUCAUUAUGGCCAUACCGUAAAAGAUAAGUCAAAAUAAGGGCUUGCCCAUAAAUUUUAACAUUUCGUUAACCUACUUAGCAAAUGUCUAAGUCCACUUUUUAUCCAGACAGAGAUUUUGGUGGCAUUUAGCUGACAGUGCAUGAACCUGUCAUGCUGAGAAGUCAGAUUUUACUGUAGUAUUAAACAGCACACGAAAACAUCAAAACACAUAUGUUGAAUGUCCACGCAUUCGAUUCAAGGGCAGAAAUAGUCGUAAGUCCACCAAAAUCUCUGUCAAGAUAAAAAAUUGACUUACGACAUUUGCUAAGUAGUUAACGAUUUGUAAGCCAACAAGAUCCAGGGAAGAUUGUGACUGACGCCCUCAGAUGUAACAAAUUAAGCACACUCUUUUAGAUCUGACGAUGUUGAUCGUGCUCCCCCUGGCCACAGACGGCCUGACUUCCCUAAAACUAUAGGUCAACAAUUAGACGGACCCUCUUGUCGUGUAUAUCUAAUGCCACCAAUAACAGUUAAGACAUUGGACAGCAUACUUCUGAUAUACAAA